rnacentral:rRNA from 1 species
CCUACGGGAGGCAGCAGUAGGGAAUAUUGCUCAAUGGGGGAAACCCUGAAGCAGCAACGCCGCGUGGAGGAUGAAGGUUUUCGGAUUGUAAACUCCUUUUGUUAGAGAAGAUAAUGACGGUAUCUAACGAAUAAGCACCGGCUAACUCCGUGCCAGCAGCCGCGGUAAUACGGAGGGUGCAAGCGUUACUCGGAAUCACUGGGCGUAAGGAGCGCGUAGGCGGGAUAGCAAGUCAGAUGUGAAAUCCUAUGGCUUAACCCUAGAACUGCAUUUGAAACUGUUAUUCUAGAGUAUGGGAGAGGUAGGUGGAAUUCUUGGUGUAGGGGUAAAAUCCGUAGAGAUCAAGAGGAAUACUCAGUGCGAAGGCGACCUGCUAGAACAUAACUGACGCUGAUGCGCGAAAGCGUGGGGAGCAAACAGGAUUAGAUACCCUAGUAGUC